CCGACAUACUAUUUAGUGUAGCAAGUAUAUUUUAUAAUUUGCCCAAAUGAGUAUGGUUGUUGGGUCAUUGGACCCAUAGAGAGUUUCAGAAUAGGCCUUUCAAUAGAGCCCAUCUCUCUGCAGGUGCGGAACCAAAAACCCCACAAACAAAAAUUGAAUGGGAUGAUGGAAAUUAGAAAUUUUUGACAUUAAAUCUCAGUGACUCGUAGACAUUAAUAAUAGUAGAACAGCCCAUGUCUUGCAUUAUUAGAGACGGCGAUGAUGGCGAUAACAUGCAAUGCAAGUACACUAACAAACUUUAAAAACAUUAAAUAUGAUAAAGAGUUUGCCAAACAAACUUUAAAAAGUAAGAAUUUAAACUCUUGACUCUAGACACAGCCAUAAAAAAGGAUUUUAGAAGAACACACCAGGUUCAGGUAUUCUUCAUUAACCAUCACUUAUCCUUGACAAUGGUCACUGGGCAAGGAGCAUGGU
rnacentral:misc_RNA from 1 species